UACGUAGGAGACGAGCGUUGUCCGGAGUUACUGGGCGUAAAGCGUGCGCAGGCGGUUGUGCAAGACAGAUGUGAAAUCCCCGGGCUCAACCUGGGAAUUGCAUUUGUGACUGCACGGCUAGAGUGUGUCAGAGGGGGGUAGAAUUCCACGUGUAGCAGUGAAAUGCGUAGAGAUGUGGAGGAAUACCGAUGGCGAAGGCAGCCCCCUGGGAUAACACUGACGCUCAUGCACGAAAGCGUGGGGAGCAAACAGG
rnacentral:rRNA from 1 species